ACCCGCUGAACUUAAGCAUAUCAAUAAGCGGAGGAAAAGAAACUAACAAGGAUUCCCCUAGUAACUGCGAGUGAAGCGGGAAAAGCUCAAAUUUAAAAUCUGGUGGUCCUUGUGGCCGUCCGAGUUGUAAUCUAGAGAAGCGUUAUCCGCGCCGGACCGUGUACAAGUCUCCUGGAACGGAGCGUCAUAGAGGGUGAGAAUCCCGUCUUUGACACGGACUACCGGGGCUUUGUGAUGCGCUCUCAAAGAGUCGAGUUGUUUGGGAAUGCAGCUCUAAAUGGGUGGUAAAUUCCAUCUAAAGCUAAAUAUUGGCGAGAGACCGAUAGCGAACAAGUACCGUGAGGGAAAGAUGAAAAGAACUUUGGAAAGAGAGUUAAACAGUACGUGAAAUUGUUGAAAGGGAAACGCUUGAAGUCAGUCGCGUUGGCCGGGGAUCAACCUUGCUCUUUUGCUUGGCGUACUUUCCGGUCGACGGGUCAGCAUCAAUUUUGACCGGUGGAUAAAGGUCAGGGGAAUGUGGCAUCUUCGGAUGUGUUAUAGCCCUUGGUCGCAUGCAUCGAUUGGGAUUGAGGAACUCAGCACGCCGCAAGGCCGGGUUUUUAACCACGUACGUGCUUAGGAUGCUGGCAUAAUGGCUUUAAUCGACCCGUCUUGAAACACGG
rnacentral:rRNA from 1 species